AGUCAAGACAAUGAUGCCUACUUGAAUAAUUCAAGUGACAAUGGGAAUUUGAAGAUAUAUGUUUGGUGGAGAUGAGUCAAGACUCUGAAAUUGCUAUUCAAUCUGAUGUUGCUGGAGUGAGUAUCUCGCUUCUUUUUGCGUUCCACACACACAUGUGGCAGAUUAUGGAGAUACUAUAGAAGAAACACAGGACAAGUUCUUGGCUGGAUAGCAGUUAAAGAAUAAAAAAGGCCCGGAGAAGCCUGGUACUUUCUGUAGGACAGGGAUGCCAGAGUAAAAGGUAGAUAUCCAAUGAGUUUGAAUGAUUCUGCAGAAUGCAGUAAAUCUAUUUUCGAUUUCGUUUCUAAUAAUAUAUUAUUCAUGCCUGCUUUCUGUGCCAAGCAUGCAUGUGUUAUUUUCACAAUUUACAGCAAUUCAACAAGAUCUAUCAACACCCUACCAAAUGGUAAAUAUUUCACCCGAAAGUGUGUCGACUUCACAAUUUAUACAGCACAUUUUGCUUUUCAUUCAUUUAUAUGUUGGAAUUCUUUAACCGAAGUAUUAGGUUGUAGCUGUAGUGAGGGUAUCUGGGUCUUUAUAGUAAGCACUAGGCUUACGAACAGAGUCAACAAAAUUCGAGCUAGCCUCAUUUAAGUGAGCUCAGUUUUGUUUGUUUACUAAAAGAUACCCAAUCUUGAACAUGAAAAUAUUACUCGGUAAUCCUUUCAGUUCGUAAACAAACUCGAUCCUAGCUUUUUGUCUACUCAGCGCGUUUACUUCGGGAUGGGGAUCAGCUCGAGUUCGACUAAACUCAGAUAAAAUUUGUACAUAUUUAAAAUUUAAAAUAUUAUGAAUAAUCCAAAUAUUUUAAAAAUGAAAAUUUCAAAUGAUUAUUAUAAAAAACUUGACAAGGGAGAUGGAAUGAGAGAUAAGACAACAAGUGUAUAUAUAUGAGUUGAGUGCAAAUGUAUGAUUAUUAUGAUAGUUAAAUAGUGAUUUGGAUGCAACUUGUAAGACUAUAAUUAAAUUUUACAAUUGAGGAUUUGUUGAGUUAAAAUUCUAUAUGUGGGAAUCUGUUUGUAUUCUAUUAGAGUUCAGCUCAACUGAAUUGUUCAUGAGCAAACUCGUGCUCGCACUCUGAAUAAACAAGCAGAUCUUGAACAUGACUUUUUGUUUGGUUGGAAACUCGGAUUGGCUCGACUCGUUUCAGAAUAAAGUUAAAGUUGGCUCGACUUGGACAAAACUUGUCCCAACUCUGUUCUUUUGAACCCCUGCACUGUCUGAGCUAGCUUUCCCAGAGAUUCUUACUACCAUCUUAUUAUUUCUCUGGACUAAUUGUUAGCUUUAUUGAUCAAAGGUCAAAAACCAUUUCUAUUGUUAGAACAAAGCUCUUCAGAGUUUGUUUUGAUUUGGAGCAGGUAAAGUUCAAUUUCGAAGGCAUAAGAAAAGCAAGGCGAGAUUUGAAGGAAAAUUGUGGAACUUGUAAUCGGGGUAAGGUUAAAUAUUAGCCUAAUGUAUUUCAUUGUUAGCGGGAGUAGACCUAAUAAAAUUUUCACUUCUCACUAAAAAAUAAUUUUUAUUGUGUGCUCGUGGACACCCACUCCUCCGAUUUUUUUUUAUAUGUCAAGAAAAUCUAUUUAUUUUGAAGCUUCACUCUUAGACGAGGCGAACAUCCCGCUCAGGUGACAAAAAGUGAAGAUGGAUGAAUUAUACUUUCUGGGAAAAGGUGAGUAGUGCAUCAACUAGGUCUUGAGCCCUAGAUUCCAGCACUAUAUACUAAAAAAGGACUAAAAUCUUAUGAAUGAUUUCUUCUCCCUAGAAUGAUAAGCGUCCAUUGCCUUUUUAGCUCAACUGUUGCUUUUUGUAUUAUACUUUGUCUAGUUGUUCUGUUACUGCCUACAUGCUUGCCCAGGAGCAUCAGCCUUUUCUUAAGAUCUAUUCACUUUUAAUUUUCUAGCAUCCUUUCAGAGUUUUACAUACGGGCCGGUUGUUUUAAAGAAGCAGAAGCUGCUACUUCUCUACGAGAGUUUCUGCUUAUUUUUCAAACACUUUAUUAACUUAUUUACUUUUCAUUUCUAAUCCACUUUUUUACCUUACGCAAAAAGUCACUUUUUUAAACUUGCCCAAACAGCCCCAUAUUUUUAUGAUUUUUUUUCCUUCUUCUUCUCAGUUUGUCGAUUGCGUCAGUGUUCUAUCAUGUUGACAUGCAUGCACCUGAAAGGUAGAUUUUACUCUGCUCUAUAUAUGUCUAUGUACAGAUGAUGAGAUAUAAUAACAGAUACGAUUCCCGACGGCGACAAGCGAUUGUUGCAAUUUGAUGUCCUUAAACUACCCCUAUUGGGGCAUUAUAGAUUUUUCACGUAUAUAACCAAAAAUAGUAAUUAGUUGGCAACAAUCGCUGGCCAUAUAUCUCCUCUGCGUAUAUUAUACAUGAAUAUUGCAGAACUUGCUUUCCUCUGUUUGUUAUCAUUCUCAUCAGAAAUAGUGAGCCAAAAAUGAAGAAUCAGAAUAUUGAUAGGAAAAUGUGAGCACUGGUAGGCUCAAAUAUUGUUGGUCUCUAUUCGUAUAAAAAUCCCUGCCGUUAGCGUGGCUUGUCGUAAGGAUCAGAAUUGUUUCAGCAGCUUCAUCAUUUGUCGUGAGAACUAAAGAAUGUGCGCAACUUGCUUUGAGAGUUUUAGUCCACUUUUACAUUCGAUUUUUUAAACAGUCUCCUGUGCACUGUCCCGUUUUAUUCGCCUUAAAUUUUCAAUUUUAACCUUCCACUUCUGUAAUGCAAUAAUUAAUAACUUGUGUUAAUACUUUUAUUACAUGCAUAAUGUUGUUGACUAUUAUUAUUGGCUAAAUUGGAUAUGUAUGACGUUAUGCAAAAUUUGUUUGUUGAACCUAUAAGAGCAUCAUUAUGUAAAA